AUCUUCGUGGUGUAGUGGUCAGCACGCUCGACGCGUAAUCGAGAGGUCCGUGGUUCGAUUCCUGGCGAAGGCG
rnacentral:tRNA from 1 species